UAGUCAUCUCAAAACAGCUGGAGAAUCAAGAGGCCUUCCGUGUGAAUACUUGCAAUUCAGUGUAUUGUUUAAUUCACUGAGCCUGAAAUUGCCGAGAAUUAUAGAGAAAAGGUUCCUCCCUGACAGUUUGGCAAGGAAUAUGGAAUGGUUAAGGACUCCCCACCCUUCCACUCCAACCCCACUUCCAAAGCCUGAGAUUUCAGGACCUCUGACCCAGCAGCUCCAGGUGUCUACGGAGCAUCUAAAUCUGGAUAUCCCAUGGGAACUUCAAACUCAAAAUAUCCAAGAGAGAUCCAUUAAUAUUCCCUUGCGCUGACCUGUAACACCGAAUCACAUGCAGUAGUAUUUAGUUGAUUCUACUGCUAAAAUGUCAAAAAAAUUUGCCCAGUUUUAUCCAACCCUCCUAUUAUUGGCCUUCAUUAUCUUUCACCAAGACCAGGCAAAUUACCUAAUUUCUCUUGGCCAGCCUUUCUUGCUCCAACCAAAGCAAAACUCAAAUUGUUUAACUGCCUUGAUUCUAUACCUUGCAUUUCCAAAUCAAAGUAUCUUUGUAUUAGACAUCAGUUUCCUUAUUUGUAAGGUGGGACAAUAAUAUUUCAUGAGAUUGUAAAAAGUUCUUAUCAUAAGAAACGCCAACAGUAAUAUAAUAUAGCAAUUAAUAAAAGCCCGCUUACUUCUUCUCACCAUUAUCUCACUGGGGAAUAUUAUAAAAACUAUCAUAUAUGGUGCUAAGGGUUAUAUGUUGAUUAAAUCAUUUAAUCUUCACAACAGCUUUAUGAAGUAAGUAUCAAUGUUACAAUUCCAACUUUAGAGAUGGGGCAAAGAGAAGCUGACUAUCUUGUCUAAGAUCACACAUCAAGACAAAGGCAACACUGAAUCUCAGAUUAGGUAUGCCUGAGUCCAGAUGGUGAUAACCAACAGAAUAUACCAACUCUGAAACAUAUUAAAUUCUCAUUACAAUGGAAUUAACUUCAUUACCUUCAAACUGUUGAACCAAGAUUUUAAAUAAAAGAAACUAUUAAUAGAAGAUUAAAGAAAUGUACAGUGUAGCUAUAUACCAAUGUGAAUGUAAUGAUAAAUGAACAGUGCAAUCAAAAUAUUUUAAAAAUACACAUUUUCAACUAAACAUAGUUUUACAUAACUUAAAAUGCAACACAGUUUUUCUUAAUGGUGCCAUCCUCCAAGCCCUAAUCGUUGUCUCACUGUUUCCUAUAACACUUUGCAGGUGCUUCUGCAGUUUGCUUUCCUUCCUGUCUAGAAAUCACAGCAUCAAAAACAUGCAAAAAGCUCUAUCUUUUUACAUAUUUUGUGGUUAGCCAACAAACUAAUGUGAGCUCAGUCAACAAUGUUUCAACUUCCUUAAUACUGCACAACUGCAAUGCAUUUUUGCUGCUUUAGAGUGCUGCAAAAACAUAUAUGACAUCUGCAUUUCUAAAACGAUAACAAUUUGUUGUUUCUGCAACAUAUAUUUAAGACUGUUCUUAAAACCAUGUAGUAAUUUAUACCUGUCUAAAUAAUUUCUUAUUUUCAUAGAUAACAUUUUUAAAGUAUAUGGGCCUUUCAGCAAUUUGCAGUCUUCAGAGAAAUGACAUUUAGAUUUUCUUGGGUCUAUUCAGGACCCAAUCUUGUAAACCAUUUCACUAGAAAUAAAAAUCUGUUUUGUUCUUUAUUAAGAAAAAGAAAAUAUGGAAGAAGCCAAUUAAAAUUUAUUGCAUAGGACAGUGUUUCCAAACAUGCUUUAAAGACAGAAAGUCUUACUAAAAACAGUUAAGUGAACUGUGACAUACAGGACGGAUCAGGUGGGACAACUCUGAUAGAAGCCAAGAUAGAAAAUACAGAGCCCUAUCAGCCUGACUUUUCAUUAUUCAUAAUGAGGUAGGAGGUGGAAUGUGACUCUGGACCAGAUUGAAGACUGACAGAAACAAGGAAGAGGAAACGAAAGCUCCUCCCCAUAAGACACGCCCACCAGCACCAUGACAUUUUACCAUUGCCAUGGCUAUACCCAGAAGUUACCAUCCCUUUCCAUGGCAAUGAUCCAGAAGUUACCUUCUGUUUUCUAGAAAUUUCUGAAUAGCCUGCCCCUUAAUUUGCACAUAAUUAAAAGUAGUAUAAACAUGGCUGCAGAACUGCCCCUGAGCUGCUACUCUUGACACACUGCCCAGGGGGUACCCCUGCUCUGAAGGAGAAGUCACAGAGCUGUAACACCCCUGCCUCAAUAAAGCUGAUUUUUCUACCACCAGCUCGCUCUUGAAUUCUUUCCUGAGCCAACCUUCUCAGGCUAAACCCCACUGUUGGGAUUCACCUGCCCUGUAACAAUUUCACCAUAAAAGUCAAUAAAGCUUCAUGAUGCAACCCAAAAUGUCUAUUAAACAUCCAGAAUCCUUACAGAAACAGAAGGCCACACUAACAUGAGGCCAACACCCCUAUAUAAAAAGGAUACAAUGGAUCUUAUUUUUAUCAUUAAUGUUGUGCGUCUUAAACAUAUGGGGUUAACUUAUGAAUAAGAAUUAUCAAAGUUUAUAUCCAAAAUUUAUAAAACAUAAUACUAUUCCCUUGAUUCUUGUAAUUUCACUUCUCUCCCAAAUAAG
rnacentral:lncRNA from 1 species